rnacentral:rRNA from 1 species
AUACGGAGGAUCCGAGCGUUAUCCGGAUUUAUUGGGUUUAAAGGGUGCGCAGGCGGGAGAUUAAGUCGGCGGUGAAAUUUUUGAGCUCAACUGUAAAAGAGCCUUCGAUACUGGUUUCCUUGAGUGUGGAUGAAGUAGGCGGAAUUUGUGGUGUUGCGGUGGAAUGCUUAGAUAUCACGAGGAACUCCGAUUGCGCAGGCAGCUUACUAAACCACUACUGACGCUCAGGCACGAAGGCGUGGGGAUCAAACAGGAUUAGAUACCCUGGUAGUCCACGCAGUAAACGAUGAUUACUGGCUGUUUGCGAUACAAUGUAAGCGGCUGAGCGAAAGCGUUAAGUAAUCCACCUGGGGAGUACGUUCGCAAGAAUGAAACUCAAAGGAAUUGACGGGG